AACGAACGCUGGCGGCAUGCCUAACACAUGCAAGUCGAACGAAGUCUUCGGACUUAGUGGCGCACGGGUGCGUAACGCGUGGGAAUCUGCCCUUGGGUGCGGAAUAACUUCUCGAAAGGGAUGCUAAUACCGCAUAAUGUCGUAAGACCAAAGAUUUAUCGCCCAAGGAUGAGCCCGCGUAAGAUUAGCUAGUUGGUGGGUAAAAGCCUACCAAGGCGACGAUCUUAGCUGGUCUGAGAGGAUGAUCAGCCACACUGGGACUGAGACACGGCCCAGACUCCUACGGAGGCAACAGUGGGAAUAUUGGACAAUGGCAAAGCCUGAUCCAGCAAUGCCGCGUGAGUGAU
rnacentral:rRNA from 1 species